GCCUGGGUGGCUCAGUCGGUUAAGCGUCUGACUGCGGCUCAGGUCAUGAUCUCAUGGUUUGUGAGUUUGAGUCCCAUGUCAGGCU
rnacentral:tRNA from 1 species